ACGGGAGGCAGCAGUAGGGAAUCUUCCGCAAUGGACGAAAGUCUGACGGAGCAACGCCGCGUGAGUGAUGAAGGUUUUCGGAUCGUAAAGCUCUGUUGUUAGGGAAGAACAAGUACCGUUCGAAUAGGGCGGUACCUUGACGGUACCUAACCAGAAAGCCACGGCUAACUACGUGCCAGCAGCCGCGGUAAUACGUAGGUGGCAAGCGUUGUCCGGAAUUAUUGGGCGUAAAGGGCUCGCAGGCGGUUUCUUAAGUCUGAUGUGAAAGCCCCCGGCUCAACCGGGGAGGGUCAUUGGAAACUGGGGAACUUGAGUGCAGAAGAGGAGAGUGGAAUUCCACGUGUAGCGGUGAAAUGCGUAGAGAUGUGGAGGAACACCGUGCGAGGCGACUCUCUGGUCUGUACUGACGCUGAGGAGCGAAAGCGUGGGGAGCGAAAGGAUAGAUACCCUGGUAGUCCACGCCGUAAACGAUGAGUGCUAAGUGUUAGGGGGUUUCCGCCCCUUAGUGCUGCAGCUAACGCAUUAAGCACUCCGCCUGGAGUACGGUCGCAAGACUGAAACUCAAAGGAAUUGACGGGGGCCCGCACAAGCGGUGGAGCAUGUGGUUUAAUUCGAAGCAACGCGAAGAACCUUACCAGGUCUUGACAUCCUCUGACAAUCCUAGAGAUAGGACGUCCCCUUCGGGGGCAGAGUGACAGGUGGUGCAUGGUUGUCGUCAGCUCGUGUCGUGAGAUGUUGGGUUAAGUCCCGCAACGAGCGCAACCCUUGAUCUUAGUUGCCAGCAUUCAGUUGGGCACUCUAAGGUGACUGCCGGUGACAAACCGGAGGAAGGUGGGGAUGACGUCAAAUCAUCAUGCCCCUUAUGACCUGGGCUACACACGUGCUACAAUGGACAGAACAAAGGGCAGCGAAACCGCGAGGUUAAGCCAAUCCCACAAAUCUGUUCUCAGUUCGGAUCGCAGUCUGCAACUC
rnacentral:rRNA from 1 species